UGAGAUAUAGCAUAUAAUAAUGCAUUUCACUUACACUGAAAACAUGCUUGAAUUCAAGCUGUCUUAA
rnacentral:tRNA from 1 species